UCGAGUGGCUGAAGAGGCACGCCUGGAAAGCGUGUAUUCCCCUAAAGGGAAUCGGGGGUUCGAAUCCCCCUCUUUCCG
rnacentral:tRNA from 1 species